CUGGGCUGUGGUAGGGGGUGGCAGGCACAGACGGGAGUCAGGGUCUCCACCUUCCACUGCUGCCGUGGUGACCCAGACUCAGAGGCCAUGGAAGAAAGCCCAGCGCGAUCACCUUGUAGCUGUCAUCUCAGGGGUGCAAGCCCCUGUCUCCUGGGCUUGCAGUCUGGUUCCUGACGGCAGAAGAGGGCUGCCCAGGGAGUGGGCUCUGAUGUUGGAGGAGCCUGGGCGUGCUUCGGGCCCUGACCAGGCGUGGCAGAGUUAAAAGACAGUGCACAGGGAGAAUGUCUGGGGGUGGAGGUGGUGUGGGGGGGCUCACCAGGAGAUAAACUGCACCUGGGCAGAGGAGGAGAGCAUUUGCCUCACUCCGCAGAGGUGUACGGCAUCCCUGAAGGGCCAAGGUUGAGGCAGGCCCCUGGGAGGACUACGUGGGGUCAGCGUACCUGAAGAGGAAAGAUGGUCUGCGGAGUCAGAACACCCGAGUGGCCUAGGGGAGACAGUUGGGGAGAGUUUGAGAUGAUAGGCAUAAGCCUUAUGCCUAUCAUAAGCCAAGGAUGAGAAUCUAGACUCAUUCUCAACCAAAGUAGACAGAAGCCACCUGGAGGUCUCAUGAAAAUGCGCAUUAUGAUAGAUUCUAGGACUUUGUUGUCCACAGUAAUGAGGCUUUGUGAAUUUAAAGUAGUUAGAAUGAAAUACAGUUAAGUUCCGUUAGCCAUGUUUCAAGUGCCCAACAGCGACACGUGGCUAGUGACUGCCCUAUCGGAAAGCACAGACUGGCAGUUCUGCUGGGCAGUGCUGCCCAGGAGUUGAGGCUCCAGGAGGGCAGAGGCUGUUUCCUCCUGGGCUGGGUGCUCAGGGCAGGCUCAGUGACGGGAGGGGCCACAGUGGGCGUGAAGGAGUAAAGCACAAAUAAAGCACAAAUAAAGCACGUUGCGGCCUUAACCUCGUGUGUUGAGGGGCAAGCUGUGGACCACUUUGCAUUCUCUAGCAGGUGAGCAAUGUGCGGCAAACAGGAACGUGGAAGAAAUGUUUGUAAACAUCUUUCUGGGUGGUUUGGACAAGGGCUUGGCUGUGCAUCUGCUGCAUUGCUUUCUUUUUGGUACGUGCUGAACUAUGGACUUCUGAAAACAAUGCUUUCUUCUAAAGUUAAUGCUUUCGUCUCAAGUUUUUCCUUGACACAGGGAGGAUUUGGGCUAAAAGAUACCUUCCACAAAAGCUUUUGCUAUCAGCUUGGUUUGAGACUCUGCGGGAAAGAAUUGAUGUCACAGAUGUGCCCUCCUGGGUUUUUAAUUUGCCGAAAGCUUCCUCUAGGGUUAAGAAAAGAGAUUAUGAAAAACGAUAAGAAGUUGGAACCAUUAUUGGUAUUAUUUUAAAGACAUGUUUCACUUCGGAACCGUAUCGAUGCUUCUGGCACUUCCCGCUUCACAGUUCUGCUCCCCUCCACCUGCCCGGCACCCGAGUUUCACAUUGCCCAGUUCACAACACACUGUCACCGGGCGCCACGGUGGCUGCAGAGCAGACGUGGCCGGGCGGGCACAGCCUUGGUCCUGCCCGGCUGCACUUGCUCACUCUUCACAGGCCCGGGUGAGCAGGCUCCCUAACACGCCCGGUUGGGUCAAGAGAAGCAGCAGGGCGCGUGGGGCUUGGGGGUGUGUCAUCCAGAGUUUGCAGGCCUGGGAUGCUUCACACUAAGAGAUUUUACGGGGAAUCCUUGUUUGGAACUUCCUCCCCAGGCUCCUUCAGCUUAUCUGCAGAAGACGGGGAGGCGUGUGUAGGCAAACAUUGGGAAGGACGCCUUACAAGGCAUCCCGGGGACGUCAGCUCACCCCUUUCUGAUCAGCCUCCAUUCAGCUUCCUCCUGGGAGGCCUGGGCCGCAUUCCCCACCGGUCCCGGGGCACCUCCCUCUCCUGCCCAACUGCCGGCUAUCCCCAGGGCGCCAAGCUCUCCGAAGCUUGUCCAACCAUCUGCCCUGCGGUGGCUCAAGAUGCUGCCAACUGGGCCCCUUCGUGGCCCGCGUGCCUUGUGAGCUCGAGGUGCUGCAUUUUGGGUCUUUAAGAUGUGUCGCUGCCUUCGGUCUGUCAGCAGCCGCCUCCAGUUCCAGAGAGUCUGCUCGCCCCGCUUCUCUGAGGGACUGCCCCGGCGGUCUCUGAUUGCUCCCACCGGAGCGCGCGUGCCUGCAGCUUGGCAGUUUCUCCUGCUUCGACGUUCCUUUCAUCUGGGCCACCAGGGGACAGGGGUCGGGGCUCCGGGGUCCCGGGCGGACCAGUUGAGAUUCGGCGCACUCAUGCCGGAGCGUCAGAGUUCUCAGCGACACCUUAGAGGAAGCAAUGCAAUCUUCACACGGUGAUGUAUAAUGCAAGGACUCCUUGAUGAGUUUAUCGGUGAAGAGUGGGUUGUUUCAUCUUGUUUAGUUCUCUGCUGUGUAGACUCAUGAGGCAGGAGGCGACCUGAGCGAUUCUUCAGCCGGUUUUGUCUUUGUCACAGCACAUUCUCCCUUUCGCAGACUUUACGAUUGCAGUCGAUCACGUGUCGCGUCUGAGAGUCUGGCCUUGUGCUUUGUCCUUCCUGACGUGGAUUUGUAUUCCAGGCCUCGAACCCCUCGAAACAUACUAUGCAGCUUGGAGUCCAGUGUCUAGGCCCCGCCUCGUCCAGCAGACAAGGGUCCUUUGCCAAUGGGGGACCUACAACGUGACUCGCGUCCUCUGGAUGGAGGGAGUGAGAGGCUGUCACGAUUCUAGGAGCGCGGGGGGGACGCAUUCAGGGGACCACAGUCUCAUGGGCGGCAUCACUGCCCAGAGCCGAGCACAGUGGGUUCCGGCCCAGGUCUGUGCCUGGCUCCUUGAUAUUCCCACGGACGCCGAAAGUCCUGCCUGAGACCACCCACCGAUGGGCACGCCUUAGGGGACAGUCCCAUGAAGCUGCUUUUGGCGGACCACGUGGGACAUCACCGACCUGGGUUUUCUGAGCUCACAGAGGCCUUGGGUGGGUGGUGUGUGCCAGCCUCUUACAGCUAAUAAUUAAUGGUUACCCUCCCCCAAAUGUGACUCAGCCGAGUCCGCUCAUGAAUUUGGAUCCCACGGUGACUCGUGACAAGACUGGCAUUCUGUUUGAUUAAAAAUAAAACUGAAAACAA